CGUAAUAAAUAGCCUCUUAAUUGGAGGCCAGUGAAUGGCAAGACUAGGGACAUCUGUACCCUGUAUAGGAAAACAACUUUUCAUCUGGGUGAAAAGACCCAAAUAAUAAAGGAAGACGAAAAGACCCCGCGGAACUUUACCUUUUCCAGUACCAUCAAUGCUCAGAAACAUAAGAACAAAAGGUUUGAUUGGGGCAAUCUCGGAACCAUCCAAACCUCCGACUUAUAGCAUAAAAGUAUAUAAAACUCAAUGUGGACCAAAAAGAAGUUACCCCGGGGAUAACAGCGUAAUCCAACUUGAGAGUACACAUCGAAAGUUGGGUUUGCGACCUCGAUGUUGGCUUAAGGAUAUCCACAUAAGUGCAACCGCUAUGAUAGGAUAGUCUGUUCGACUAUUAUACCCUUACACGAGCUG
rnacentral:rRNA from 1 species